rnacentral:rRNA from 1 species
GAUGAACGCUGGCGGCGUGCCUAAUACAUGCAAGUCGAACGAAACUUCUUUAUCACCGAGUGCUUGCACUCACCGAUACAGAGUUGAGUGGCGAACGGGUGAGUAACACGUGGGCAACCUGCCCAAAAGAGGGGGAUAACACUAGGAAACAGGUGCUAAUACCGCAUAACCAUAGUUACCGCAUGGUAACUAUGUAAAAGGUGGCUAUACUACCGCUUUUGGAUGGGCGCGCGGCGCAUUAGCUAGUUGGUAGGGUAAAGGCUUACCAAGGCAAUGAUGCGUAGCCGAAUUGAGAGAUUGAUCGGCCACAUUGGGACUGAAACACGGCCCAAACUCCUACGGGAGGCAGCAGUAGGGAAUCUUCCACAGUGGGCGAAAGCCUGAUGGAGCAACGCCGCGUGGGUGAAGAAGGUCUUCGGAUCGUAAAACCCUGUUGUUAGAGAAGAAAGUGCGUGAGAGUAACUGUUCACGUUUCGACGGUAACUAACCAGAAAGCCACUGCUAACUACGUG